rnacentral:rRNA from 1 species
AAGCAUUUAUCAUUUACUCCUACUGCUGUGUGGUAUGCUGUGCUAGCUGUCCUUUGCUCUUGCUUGGCCCUUGUAUGCUGCUGCUAUUGGACCAGGCCAGCCAUCAGGAAAUCUCAGAAAUCUGAAGUUCCUGCAAGCACCUCGCCAGAAGGAGCUUGAAGUGGUCAUCAGUGGCCUAUCAGUUUAGCUACCCUCUGUAUUCAGGUGCAGCAGCAUGGUUUUCCUCUGGUAAUCGACUGACAGUCUUCUGCUAUCAAUUUUGAUUCUAGCUUGCAGUCAGCCUUGCGAGAUCUUUAAAACUAUUGAUGGGUUGGAAGACUGGUUUAUAAGAGUUGAUAAUAUGGGCAAACGGUGAAAGGCGGCGACAAGUACUUGUUCAAGGAGCUAUCUGUGGGAGGACAACCGUGAAGGAUAAGGGGAAAUCUCCAUUCUCUGCAACUUAGCUGAAGAAGAACAAGGAAGCCGUAGAAACUACUUACUGCUACACCAUCUGCUUUUCAGUAGAUACCGUCGUUUCUUUUCUGAAGUUAAUUAUCGUGUGAUGAAGAUCGGUGAUACUCUCUUGACGUUGUGUCUGUGUUUUAUUCUUUAAUUAGUUAUGGUCAUGAACUGCAUUCAUUGUGGUUUAAGUGAAGUGUCCACUAUUUUUGGCUACUGUUAAGCGUAGUGGCCGUUUAGUUGUAAAGAAUUAGAUAUAUUUGGUUAAUUGGACCGUUGUAUGUAAUCAAACUGAAGCGAGGUGCAUCUCGUGUGUAUUUGUUUACUCUUACGCUGGCUCAAACUCAUUAGUAUAACUCAGAUGUUCUCCUUUACGUACUCUGCCGUCAGUCGGCGUCUUCAGCUUUUUGAUUGUGCUGGUGGAUGGUGUUUAGUAGUCCAAAAAUCUUUUGGUAACUGCACUCAUGGACGGACUGCAAUCAACGAACACAUGUUUUCUUUUCAGAGGACACGGUUUAGUUGGCAACUGUCUGAGC